UGGGGAAUCUUCCGCAAUGGACGAAAGUCUGACGGAGCAACGCCGCGUGAGUGAUGACGGCCUUCGGGUUGUAAAGCUCUGUUAAUCGGGACGAAAGGUCUUCUUGCGAAUAGUUAGAAGAAUUGACGGUACCGGAAUAGAAAGCCACGGCUAACUACGUGCCAGCAGCCGCGGUAAUACGUAGGUGGCAAGCGUUGUCCGGAAUUAUUGGGCGUAAAGCGCGCGCAGGCGGAUAGUUAGUCUGUCUAAAAGGUCGGGGGUUAACCCCCGGAUGGGGUAGGAAACGGGGUGAUCUAGAUUAUCGGAGAGGAAAGUGGAAUUCCUAGUGUAGCGGUGAAAUGCGUAGAUAUUAGGAAGAACACCAGUGGCGAAGGCGACUUUCUGGACAAAAACUGACGCUGAGGCGCGAAAGCGGGGGNAGCGANAUGAAUUACCCCCGCCGCNNGGCCUGNCCGUAAACGAUGGGUACUAGGUGUAGGAGGUAUCGACCCCUUCUGUGCCGGAGUUAACGCAAUAAGUACCCCGCCUGGGGAGUACGACCGCAAGGUUG
rnacentral:rRNA from 1 species